CAUGCAAGUCGUGCGGUAACAGGCCCUUUGGGGUGCUGACGAGCGGCGGACGGCUGAGUAACGCGUAGGAAUGUGCCCCAAAGUGAGGGAUAACUGCCCGAAAGGGUGGCUAAUACCGCAUAUGGUCUUCGGAUUAAAGGAUUUAUCCGCUUUGGGAGCAGCCUGCGUAAGAUUAGAUUGUUGGUGAGGUAACGGCUCACCAAGUCGAUGAUCUUUAACUGGUUUGAGAAGAUGAUCAGUCAGACUGGAACUGAGAAACGGUCCAGACUCCUACGGGAGGCAGCAGUUAGGAAUAUUCCACAAUGGGCGAAAGCCUGAUGGAGCAACGCCGCGUGGAGGAUGAAGGCCCUCGGGUCGUAAACUUCUUUUCUCUGUGAUGAAUAUGACAGUAGCAGAGGAAUAAGGGUCUGCUAACUACGUGCCAGCAGCCGCGGUCAUACGUAGGACCCAAGCGUUAUUCGGAUUGAUUGGGCGUAAAGAGUUGCGUAGGUGGUUUGUUAAGCGAAUAGUGAAAUCUUGUGGCUCAACCAUAAGGCUAUUAUUCGAACUAGCAGACUCGAGAAUGGGAGAGGUAUCUGGAAUUUCUAAUGUANGGGUAAUAUCCGUAGAUAUUAGAAAGAACACCAAUGGCGUANGCANGAUACUGGCCCAUUUCUGACACUA
rnacentral:rRNA from 1 species